UACAGAGGUCUCAAGCGUUGUUCGGAUUCAUUGGGCGUAAAGAGCGUGUAGGCGGCCAGAUAAGUCCGCUGUGAAAUCUCGAGGCUCAACUUCGAGCUGUCGGUGGAAACUGUCUGGCUAGAGUCCGGAAGAGGAGAAUGGAAUUCCUGGUGUAGCGGUGAAAUGCGCAGAUAUCAGGAAGAACACCCGUGGCGAAGGCGGUUCUCUGGGACGGUACUGACGCUGAGACGCGAAAGCCAGGGGAGCAAACGGG
rnacentral:rRNA from 1 species